UCAGCCAGAACAGAGAGUCUUGGUCCUGAACCUAACACUACUUUUUCCUAAGAUUAUACAUGCAAGCCUCAACAAGACUGUGAGUCGCCCACCAAAUCACCAAGAAGGAGCGGAGCAAACAAAGAAAUCAAGCAGAAUCCAAACAACGGUCAACCCACGCCUACACAGGAACUCAGCAGUAAUUAACAUUAGGCCAUGAGCGGAAGCUCGACCUAGCUAUAGGAACACCCAGCCGGUAAAACUCGUGCCAGCGACCGCGGUUAUACGAGUGGCUCAAAAUAGCACCAACGGCGAAAACAUGGCCAGAGCGAAUCGACUAAGCCUAGGGAGAAAGGAUUAACGAGCCGUCUAACGCCAAGAACAAACGAACACCACCCCCCAGCAACGCCAGAUCCCCUUGAACCAUAAAAGCUACGGAACAAACUAGGAUUAGAUACCCUACUAUGCCUAGCCGUAAAAGGGGCGCACCCCGCCAGAUAAGUAAAAGCGAAAGCUUAAAAUUCAAAGGACUUGACGGCACCUCACAUCAGCCUAGAGGAGCCUGUCCUAUAAUCGACAACCCACGCUGAAACCUCACCACCCCUAGCCAACCAGCCUAUAUACCGCCGUCGUCAGCUCACCCUGCAAGAGAGCCAAAGUGAGCAAAACAGUUCCUGCACUAAAACGACAGGUCAAAGCGUAGCUUAUGGGGCGGGCUGAGAUGGGCUACAUUUUCUAAAACAGACCCCACCAGAAAGCACUUGAAAAACGCCAACAAGUUGGAUUUAGCAGUAAGGUAGGACAGAAAGCCCACCUGAACACAGCACCGAGGUGCGCACACACCGCCCGUCACCCCCAUCCACACAAACAACAAAAACUUCAUAAUGAGAGCCCACCAGAAAGAAGGGGAAAGUCGUAACAAGGUGGGCGUACUGGAAAGUGCGCCCGUGCAC
rnacentral:ncRNA from 1 species